rnacentral:rRNA from 1 species
GACGGACGCUGGCGGCGCGCCUAACACAUGCAAGUCGAACGGAGCUGAGAGAAGCUUGCUUUUCUUAGCUUAGUGGCGCACGGGUGAGUAACGCGUGAGUAACCUGCCCUGGAGUGGGGGACAACAGUUGGAAACGACUGCUAAUACCGCAUAAGCCCACGAUCCGGCAUCGGAUUGAGGGAAAAGGAUUUAUUCGCUUCAGGAUGGACUCGCGUCCAAUUAGCUAGUUGGUGAGGUAACGGCCCACCAAGGCGACGAUUGGUAGCCGGACUGAGAGGUUGAACGGCCACAUUGGGACUGAGACACGGCCCAGACUCCGACGGGAGGCAGCAGUGGGGGAUAUUGCACAAUGGGGGAAACCCUGAUGCAGCGACGCCGCGUGGAGGAAGAAGGUGUUCGGAUUGUAAACUCCUGUCGUAAGGGACGAUAAUGACGGUACCUAACAAGAAAGCACCGGCUAACUACGUG